UGCUGGAGGUAUCAGAAGUGCGAAUGCUGACAUAAGUAACGAUAAAGCGGGUGAAAAGCCCGCUCGCCGGAAGACCAAGGGUUCCUGUCCAACGUUAAUCGGGGCAGGGUGAGUCGACCCCUAAGGCGAGGCCGAAAGGCGUAGUCGAUGGGAAACGGGUUAAUAUUCCCGUACUUGGUGUUACUGCGAAGGGGGGACGGAGAAGGCUAUGUUGGCCGGGCGACGGUUGUCCCGGUUUAAGCGUGUAGGUGUGUGUUCCAGGUAAAUCCGGUUCACUUUAACACUGAGGCGUGACGACGAGGCACUACGGUGCUGAAGCAACAAAUGCCCUGCUUCCAGGAAAAGCCUCUAAGCAUCAGGUAACACGAAAUCGUACCCCAAACCGACACAGGUGGUCAGGUAGAGAAUACCAAGGCGCUUGAGAGAACUCGGGUGAAGGAACUAGGCAAAAUGGUGCCGUAACUUCGGGAGAAGGCACGCUGACACGUAGGUGAAGUGAUUUACUCAUGGAGCUGAAGUCAGUCGAAGAUACCAGCUGGCUGCAACUGUUUAUUAAAAACACAGCACUGUGCAAACACGAAAGUGGACGUAUACGGUGUGACGCCUGCCCGGUGCCGGAAGGUUAAUUGAUGGGGUCAGCGCAAGCGAAGCUCCUGAUCGAAGCCCCGGUAAACGGCGGCCGUAACUAUAACGGUCCUAAGGUAGCGAAAUUCCUUGUCGGGUAAGUUCCGACCUGCACGAAUGGCGUAAUGAUGGCCAGGCUGUCUCCACCCGAGACUCAGUGAAAUUGAACUCGCUGUGAAGAUGCAGUGUACCCGCGGCAAGACGGAAAGACCCCGUGAACCUUUACUAUAGCUUGACACUGAACAUUGAGCCUUGAUGUGUAGGAUAGGUGGGAGGCUUUGAAGUGUGGACGCCAGUCUGCAUGGAGCCGACCUUGAAAUACCACCCUUUAAUGUUUGAUGUUCUAACGUGGACCCGUAAUCCGGGUUGCGGACAGUGUCUGGUGGGUAGUUUGACUGGGGCGGUCUCCUCCUAAAGAGUAACGGAGGAGCACGAAGGUUGGCUAAUCCUGGUCGGACAUCAGGAGGUUAGUGCAAUGGCAUAAGCCAGCUUGACUGCGAGCGUGACGGCGCGAGCAGGUGCGAAAGCAGGUCAUAGUGAUCCGGUGGUUCUGAAUGGAAGGGCCAUCGCUCAACGGAUAAAAGGUACUCCGGGGAUAACAGGCUGAUACCGCCCAAGAGUUCAUAUCGACGGCGGUGUUUGGCACCUCGAUGUCGGCUCAUCACAUCCUGGGGCUGAAGUAGGUCCCAAGGGUAUGGCUGUUCGCCAUUUAAAGUGGUACGCGAGCUGGGUUUAGAACGUCGUGAGACAGUUCGGUCCCUAUCUGCCGUGGGCGCUGGAGAACUGAGGGGGGCUGCUCCUAGUACGAGAGGACCGGAGUGGACGCAUCACUGGUGUUCGGGUUGUCAUGCCAAUGGCACUGCCCGGUAGCUAAAUGCGGAAGAGAUAAGUGCUGAAAGCAUCUAAGCACGAAACUUGCCCCGAGAUGAGUUCUCCCUGAGACUUUAGGUCUCCUGAAGGAACGUUGAAGACGACGACGUUGAUAGGCCGGGUGUGUAAGCGCAGCGAUGCGUUGAGCUAACCGGUACUAAUGAACCGUGAGGCUUAACCUUACAACGCCGAAG
rnacentral:rRNA from 1 species